rnacentral:lncRNA from 1 species
AAAAAUCAUAAAUAACAUAACUGAAAGUUAGUUUCAAACAAUAUUUUAUUUUAAUAAAAUAGAAAUGUAAAUUAUUAGGUUUGUAAUUUAUUCAGGAUGUAUUUUUGGCGGGAGUGAACGCGGGAGUAAUCACUAUGAUAUGGACAAUGACAGAGCUAAUCAGACAUCCGAGAGUUAUGAAGAAACUCCAAGAAGAGAUACGAACAACACUCGGAUCCAACAAAGAGAGAAUCACAGAAGAAGACCUAGAGAAAGUUGAGUACAUGAAGCUAGUGAUCAAAGAAUCAUUCAGAUUACAUCCACCUGCUCCUCUCUUGCUCCCAAGACAAACAAUGUCGGACAUCAAAAUCCAAGGCUACAACAUUCCUAAGAACACCAUGAUCCAAGUCAGCACUUACGCGAUAGGACGUGAUCCACAAUGUUGGAAGAGCCCUGAAGAGUUCAUUCCCGAGAGGUUUUUAAAUACAUCUAUCAACUACAAAGGUCAGCAUUUUGAGUUCUUGCCCUUUGGAGCUGGUCGUAGGAGCUGUCCCGGGAUGGCCUUGGGAACCACCAUUGUCGAGCUUGGCCUUCUUAACCUUCUUUACUUCUUUGAUUGGAGUUUGCCCGAUGGAAUGAAAAUUGUAGACAUUGACAUGGACGAAGUCGGAUCUUUAAACAUCGCCAAGAAAGUGCCUCUUGAGCUCGUACCAACUCUUUAUCGUUUCUAAACAAUAAUAUAUAUACAAGACCUGAUUUGUAUAUUUUAUAUUUUAUUUCGUUUUUGUUCUACGUUUAUUCUAGAUGGCUUGUAUUUAAAGAAAGUAUAUAUUCAUGUUCAUAAUGCUUAUAUCUUCACUGAAACUUGUACUAUUCUAAAUUUGAAAAUUUCUCCCCUUCCCCCUCCCACAUUGAAUGAUUGAAGUGGUCUUUAAAUUUCAUGUUGCCAUAAUAUCAGAAGUAAAUGGUUAAGUAACAUACGAUCAAUUUAUUACGAGACACUGAUUUCCUCAAAAAGCUCUUGAAAUAAUUUAAAAUUAUUCUACGUCAUUAGAAGUAUGGGUCGUAAUAAAGUGAUGGGUCGUAAUAAAGUGAUCGUAUGUUAACAACUUUUACUUCUGAUAUGUCAACAUGAAACAUGGUUUUGUUUAAAGACAUAACUUGAAUGUUAUAUUAUAUGUUUCUUAUAAAUGGAAGAUCAUAAUGUGAUCCAAACUCUAUGUAGUCAGAGUUUUGAAUCACAUAUAUAUAUGUGAUUAUUCAUUUAUAAGCCCCCACACUAGAUACUUACCAUAAGAGCUAUUCAGCUUGAUUCUUAGCUAAAUAUCAACAGCAGUCCAUGGGAAAAUCAUAUUUAUAUAUUAUAUUAAAAAAACCAAGCCUGGUUUGAGGUUAAAUUUUUUUGGAAUAGUUCAUAUUUCCCAUGGAAUAUUUCAUUUUUAUAUAAUUAUCAAACCUAAUUACUUUCUGGUUACAAACUUACAAGAAUCAGAUCCAUAAGAAAAUGAUAGAUUUGUUUAUUGUCACGUAUUGUAUGUUGUCGGUUUGGUUAGAGAGAGAGCUCUAUAUCUAACCUGUGUUUUUGAGAUAGCACUUUCUCCAGCCACAUACCCAAGAACAUGAUAUGUCUCGGGACGGUUGCCUUAAUUGAUUCAGUUCAUCUGGUAUAAUAAAUAAAACAUUCAUUUAAGUACAAAAGCCUAACCACAUGCAUGCAUCGCCUAUAUGGAUCCUCUCUGAUAACAAAAUGCUCAAUCCCACAUAAUUAGUACUAGUAAGAAUAAUAAUGUCUAUCUACCUUUAUUUCCUCUUCAUCUCCCUUCUCGUUCUGAUCAUUUUUAAAAAGCUUUUACCCUCGAAAAGGAAGCUUCCCCCAGGACCUACAGGUCUUCCCAUCAUUGGAAACUUGCACCAGCUUGGAGGACUGCUUCACAGCACUCUUCACAAGCUAUCUUUAGAACAUGGACCAGUGAUGCUUCUUCGCUUUGGGGUCGUCCCUAUGGUCGUGUUCUCUUCAAAGGAAGCAGCUAAAGAAGCUCUCAAGACUCAUGACCUAGAGACAUGCAACCGACCUAAGUUGGUGGGCAACGGAUUGUUUACUCACAACUUCAAAGACAUUGGGUUCACUCAGUAUGGUGAGGAAUGGAGAGAGAUGAAAAAACUCGUGGGACUCGAGCUCUUUAGUCCGCAAAAGCAAAAGUCUUUCAGGUAUAUCAGAGAGGAAGAAGGUGACUUGCUAGUCAAGGAAAUAUCAAAAUCUGCCCAAACACAAACCCUAGUGGAUUUGAGAAAAGCCUUGUACUCUUUCGCCGCCGGUGUCAUACUUAGACUCGCCUUCGGACAGAACUUCCAUGAGUGUGAUUUCAUCGAUAUGGACAGAGUUGAAGUGCUGGUGCAAGAGGCAGAAACCAGUGUAUGCGCAUUGGCAUUCACUGACUUCUUCCCCACGGGUCUCGGCUGGCUUGUUGACCGUAUCUCGGGUCAGCAUUCAAGGAUGAACAAAGCCUUUUCCAGGCUCACCAGUUUCUUUCAACAUGUGAUAGAUGAGCAUAAGAAAGCUGGACAAACCCAAGAUCGUUCAGACUUAGUUAGUGCUAUGUUGGAUAUGAUCAAUAGACCCACUAAAUCAGGUUCUUUCAAGGUCACCUCUCAUCAUCUCAAAGCAAUGAUGACAGUGAGUUUCUCUUAAUUAUACUUUCUCCUUUGCAAAAUAGAUUUUGUUUAAAGUAUCUUCACAUAAAUUAAGAAAACGAUUAAGUAUUCGGUUUCCCCCUUAUUUGACUAUUAAAAUUAUAUAACAUUAUUUUUUUUUAAUUUAAUUUGGGAUAAAAGAUAUUAAAUUAGUGAAAAAACUAUAUUAAAAUCAUAGAACAACAAUUAUUUUGUAACAAAAGUUGUACUAUACAACAACACUUAAUAUGACCCAUUUAUACAUCUAGUUCAUUUUGUUGCUUCGUCUUAAGUUAUACGUAUGUCAUGUUAUCAGGAUGUGGUUUUGGCUGGGAUAAACGCAGGAGUAACAACAAUGAUAUGGACCAUGACAGAGCUAACCAGACAUCCAAGAAUAAUGAACAAACUCCAAGAAGAGAUUAGAACAAAACUCGGAUCCAACAAAGAGAGAAUCACAGAAGAAGACCUAGAGAAAGUUGAGUACAUGAAGCUAGUGAUCAAAGAAUCAUUCAGAUUACACCCACCUGCUCCUCUCUUGCUCCCAAGACAAACAAUGUCCGAGAUAGAGGUUCAUGGCUACACCAUUCCCAAGAACAGCAUGAUCAAGAUCAACACUUACGCCAUAGGACGUGAUCCAAAAUGCUGGACUAAAGCUGAAGAAUUUAUUCCUG